AUAAUAGUUACAGUUCUUGCAAAUCAGGAAGGCGAGUAGUUUUUAUUUGUGGUUAAACGUGUACAUGCAUAUUGCAAUAGUGUGCGUGUCUGACGACGCGGUCAGUUGCGAGCGCGCCAUCGCUCAGGUUAGUUGUGUUUAUUGUUCCCGGACGCUAAUUGCCGUGAAGUACUGUCAGCAUGUCAAAGCGCAAAGUUAUCCAUAGCGAGGGUCGAGCAAUCAUUGCUAAAGUCUUUCACUUUCUUAAAGAUGAAUAUAGUUUUAUGAAAGCAAAUAACAGUGAUGGAUGUGACCUAAGUCCAUUAGCAAACAUAUUAGAAAGAACUGCCCAAGCAACAGGCGUCAGUGAACGCACAGUAACUAGGAUUUUAAAAGAAGAGAAGGAGUUGCCAUCGUCAUCAACCAAGUUUACUUCACCCAUGAAAAAGCGACGUAAAAGAGACAGUAAAUCUAACCAUAUCACCCCGAGUUAAAUGCCAUUGAAAACAUCUGGGGUAUUUUGAAGAAUAA